GAACGCAUUUGGGAAUGAUGGCUACGGCAUAGUGUUAUUAGGAUAGUCACUUUCUUAACAAAGAUUUAUUGUAAAAUGUGUACAUCAUACGAAGGAUAAUAAGCUGGAAUACAUUUUAGAAUAACAAGAUACCUCUUUUAUGUGUAUCAAAAUCUCUCUCUAAUAAGUUGUACUUAUGUUAUAUGUAUAGUAUAUCUUAACAAUAUGUUUUAGAGACCAGCAUAUUAGAUUGAUGAUAUGUGUAUAUCUUUCCAGUCAGAAACAGAAGAUAUACUUGAAAAGGAAAAAGAGCGAACGUAUUAAAAUUGGGCACAUAAUAAUUGUUGACGAAAGAUCGAAGGAAUCGAGCAACAGAGUCGCCCAACGCUGAGCGCGAGACACAGUGUAGGAGAUCCGAGACGAUUUCACAGAGGACGGGAAUAAUGGACUUCACUGGUUGCACAGGUGUUCGAUCGCUAUGCGGCUAUCUUCGGCGCGGCGCGAAUAUGCGGAAAUCUUGCCACGAGCCGUGAAACUGCAAAAAUUCGCGAAUUCUCGAGGAUUGUCGUAGAGCGGAGCACACAGUUACAAAAAAAUGGAGAUCCUCUAGAGAGGGAUCGGUACAAGUGGUUACAUUUUCUAUUGGUCGCGCCAUUUGUUUCUAAACCGGAAACUGAAGAGAGAUAGAAGAUGGAGAUUGGAUAGAGAUGGAUAGAUAGAUGGAUAGAACUUGUAAACAGUGACGAGCAGAAAGUGUGAAAGUGAUGUUGGUGCUGCAUUCACUCACUUCCUCAUUAGAAACAAAUGGCGUCGGUUAUACCCAUCCCUCCUUAUAGGAUUCCUACAAAAAAAUGUGAUCGGUAGAUAACUUCGCGGAACUGAGCAGAUAGUCUCGCAACCGAUAAUUUUGAGAUAAGUCUGAGAGAUACUUAGCAACGAAAAACUGCGAUAAAGAGAGCGGUCAACUGCAGAAACUAUUGCGAAUUGGCCGAAACUUUGAACGCGAGACUAGUCCGACACGAAACUGAUCUGGACGGUAACGAGGAAAUAUUGAAUCUCUCGUCUUCGCGAUACAGACUCGCUUAUAAAGGCUCGCUUGAGACAAAUAAGAUGGAAUUCGGUUGAUUCGAAUUUUGACAAAUACUUCGAAUAAUAGAAUUUCGGCCGUCUAUCGCGUAGUGAAAUCUCAGCGAUAGCUAUUAUGUAACGAGCCUGUACUCACGAUAAAAACAACUUGUUUGUAUGAUGUCGAAAAUAAGUCUGUUUGUCUGAUUUCGAUUACUGUAAGCUUGAAAUUUACUGAAAUAAAUUCUAUUACGUAGAAAUGAAAAUUUCAAAUUUCGUCUAAUCCUGAACAAUAAUGGAAUAAUGAAAAGGAGUGAGCUACAGGAGUGAGCGUCUUGUUAAAAGUUUGUCUUAUAAAUGUCUUUCUGUGGCAAAUAAACAUCUAUUGAAUUCUUUUCGUCGUCAAAUCAAGUGCUGCACUAUAUGCUGUUUGAGACUCACCUUUCUCGAGUAAAUCUCUCUAACAAUAAGUAUAUCAUUCUUUGCGUCUGCUUUUGAUAACAUUAUGCGUCUUAAAGUAUUUAUCAAAUGUGUAUUGAAAAUACAUACGCAACAAUCAUGUUCUAGAUU